rnacentral:rRNA from 1 species
CCUACGGGGAGCAGCAGUGGGGAAUAUUGGGCAAUGGGCGCAAGCCUGACCCAGCAACGCCCCUUGAAGGAAGAAGCCUUUCGGGUUGUAACCUUCUUUUCCCAGGGACGAGCCAGUUGACGUUCCCUGAGAAUUAACCACCGGCAAACUACGUGCCAGAAGCGCCGGUAAUACGUAGGUGGCAAGCGUUAUCCGGAUUUAUUGGGGGUAAAGGGCGUGUAGGCGGGACUGCAAGUCAGAUGUGAAAACCACGGGCUCAACCUGUGGCCUGCAUUUGAAACUGUAGUUCUUGAGUACUGGAGAGGCAGACGGAAUUCCUAGUGUAGCGGUGAAAUGCGUAGAUAUUAGGAGGAACACCAGUGGCGAAGGCGGUCUGCUGGACAGCAACUGACGCUGAGGCGCGAAAGCGUGGGGAGCAAACAGGAUUAGAUACCCUAGUAGUC